rnacentral:rRNA from 1 species
CGUGCUAAUACAUGCAAGUAGAACGCACAGGAUGCACCGUAGUUUACUACACCGUAUUCUGUGAGUUGCGAACGGGUGAGUAACGCGUAGGUAACCUGCCUGGUAGCGGGGGAUAACUAUUGGAAACGAUAGCUAAUACCGCAUAAGAACAUUUACUGCAUGGUAGAUGUUUAAAAGGUGCAAAAGCAUCACUACCAGAUGGACCUGCGUUGUAUUAGCUAGUUGGUGAGGUAACGGCUCACCAAGGCAACGAUACAUAGCCGACCUGAGAGGGUGAUCGGCCACACUGGGACUGAGACACGGCCCAGACUCCUACGGGAGGCAGCAGUAGGGAAUCUUCGGCAAUGGGGGGAACCCUGACCGAGCAACGCCGCGUGAGUGAAGAAGGUUUUCGGAUCGUAAAGCUCUGUUGUUAAGGAAGAACGUGUGUGAGAGUGGAAAGUUCACACAGUGACGGUACUUAACCAGAAAGGGACGGCUAACUACGUGCCAGCAGCCGCGGUAAUACGUAGGUCCCGAGCGUUGUCCGGAUUUAUUGGGCGUAAAGCGAGCGCAGGCGGUUAGAUAAGUCUGAAGUGAAAGGCAGUGGCUCAACCAUUGUAGGCUUUGGAAACUGUUUAACUUGAGUGCAGAAGGGGAGAGUGGAAUUCCAUGUGUAGCGGUGAAAUGCGUAGAUAUAUGGAGGAACACCGGUGGCGAAAGCGGCUCUCUGGUCUGUAACUGACGCUGAGGCUCGAAAGCGUGGGGAGCGAACAGGAUUAGAUACCCUGGUAGUCCACGCCGUAAACGAUGAGUGCUAGGUGUUAGGUCCUUUCC